CUGAUGCGACGUGCUCGUGUCUUCGCAGCGUCCUCUGUACAUGUUGGACUUUUUUUUUCAUAUGCAAAAGAAUAUUGUUUGUGUAAUACAGUCAUAAUAUUUACGCAGGCACGCGGGAGGAGUGAGGUGGAGGCUCAGCCGAGCUGUGCGCACACAAACUCGGACUGGGACUUCAGAUCGACUCCUGCAGACGUUUAACCACUGAAUGAUUCAGGAUUUAAGCGUCUCCUGGAAGACUCAGUCUUCCACAGUGAGUGGGAGGCGGUUGGGUGCCCCACCCUGCUGUCCUCCACACCUCCCAGGACCGGUCCCUCAUGGUCUGCCUAACGCAGGGAGAGACAUCAAUAAUGAGAGCUGAAGCAGAAACCACAGCGGAGAACACAGAGGAGACCGGCCACAACUGGCUCUGCUGCAGGCUGGAGUGGGCAGGCCUGUGGUUUUGGCCACAGGAAGCUGUGAAUUCUUCGGAGAAUGGGAGAUGUCUCAUGGGGAGACAUGGUUUGCCCCCCACCCACCCACACACCCCCCCAAAAUGACCCCUGACCCUUUCAUGUGUUUAUAUCAGACCAUGGAAGUGAGAAAUAGUGAUGAGUCACUCUGGCUGCGUGUUUACACUCCGGAGUCACGCAAGGAAGGAAAUCAGCCACGGUCUGCUAAAAGUGGCGAGGUAAGGGAGAGAAUAGCCGCUGUGAUUUACCUCACAGAGCCAGCAUUUAUUUUGCGUCAUCUCUGCUGAGAAAACUCUCGUUCAACAGAAAACACUGGUAUUAGCGGCGCAGAGGAGUGCAGUCGAGGGAAAAUACUGCAUGGAGGGCCAAAGCACGUAGUCGCCGCUGAAGAAAGUGGACGUCUAUAUGCCUACCAACACUACCACACUGAUUAUCCUUGGAGCCGACCCAGCAGGAUGAUUCAUGAUUAAUCAGAAUGUUUAAACAUAAUUAUUAUUUCUUUCAGAUUUAUACCGUCAUGGUUAUUACCGAUGCUAUUCCAAACCGGGCUCCCAACGCUAGCAUCACCGGUGUCUCCAGUUUAUGAGAGACUGGUUUUAGUGUGAUGACUGUAAAAUUCACUGGGUAACUACGUGUAUUAGUCAGAAAACCCUUUUCAAAGAGUAUUUGGUGAAAAUAUUGACAGCCAACACACUGCAGUUAUGUGCACUCCUUGUGUGUAAAUGUUUAUCAGAAAAGACUUAGCUUGGAUGGACUCAAGUGUUCAGUCUGUAUAUUUCACGUGACCUAUUUUUCAGACAUAAAAAAAAAGAUAGAUUUUAAGAGUUAUGCCUUUCUCCUUUGCAUUGUAGAUAUCAGCAGCAGUUUAUUGUGAUAUUUCACCAUGGAUCCUACAUAACCAGCAUGACUCCUGCUAAUAAUUCAGCAUUUUAAGGCCCUAUGCAAUCACUGUCAAGUCAAAGGUCUGGUUCAAACUGGAACUUCAAAUGUUGACAGAUGAUGAAGAGACAAACAUGAUGCUUAAGCCUUCGCACGCACCUCUUAAACUGUUUUGACAAUACAUUUUCAGCAUCUUCAUCUUGCACCUCAGUUUAUUCUGAUAGUCGCAGGUGAUUGCAUCCUUUGGGGGGAAGAAAUAUGUUAAUGAUAAUCUGCUCUUAGUAUCAUAAAGUGUUAUAUGUGCGUAUCGUUACUGUGUAAACAACACUUGACAUGUGCUGCGUCCAGCUCUGAAGGACUUCGUAUUCGGUGUCAUGUGGGGUGUGUUUACUGCGGCUUUCACUGCUCUUUCAAACACACUGUCACUGUCAUCCUUCACACUGAGUGACUUUAGUUGUCAGAUUGCACAACUGUUGUUUUCGAGACACGGCUACAGUCACUGCAGUACUAGUCGGUAAAUAAAAGUGACACGGUAUUUCUUUCCAUCACUGUGCUGGUGCUAGUAGCUUCAUUGCUGACUGUAGCAAGUAUCCCUUUACACACCCCCGUAUGCACCGCCACAAUGAGAGAGUCGGCAGCUCUUAUUUUGGCCGAUCUCUCCUGAAUUGUAAGUGCUGUCAGGGGCUUUGAUUGAUAGUUGUGUUUAUCACCAUAUUAUUAAGUAAUCAGGCUGGCCACAGCUGGGCCUGAAGCUCCUUAAUUCCAGCUGCAGCACACAGCUUUAUGGUAAUUAAAGGUUUGCCAAACGUGUUUAUUUUUGUGAAUUUUUUUAAGUAUAGUUGUCUUUGUUUUUAGGUGUGUAGAAUGUGCUGAUUGUUGCAUUUGUAUACCGUCUGGAACAUUUGGUACCAACCUUCAGUGUUGUACUGCCAUCUGAAAGAUCACGGGAAGUGACAUGGACGCUGGGGAGAAUUUCAAACUGCUUGGACUGAAGUUCAGGUGGGGUGUAAAUACCUUCCUUUCACCUCAUAGUAAUCUAUUGUUCUGCAUUGGUGUAAAACUUGCAAAACAGCUGUUUAUGUACCAACAAAACAUUCGCCAUGUAACACAGGAUAGUCAGUGAGUCUGUGUUCUCUGCGCAGUGGCAGAGAUUUCCUCUUGCUUCGUUAAUAGAGCCCACGGCGGGCUGUGUUUGUGUAUUUCUGGGGUAAACACAGUCAUGGCAAAGUGGACACGCUGCCGAGUGUGUCCUGACUGGAGACAGCGUGCACUGGGACACUGUACUUUUCAAGACACUAGAACCUCUCCGCAGCGAGGGUAAAUGUGAUGAAUGGCCCUUUAGUACUGGGUCAUGAGCCCGGUUGAAACAACAGAAGAAAACAGCAAAAAAACACAAAAACCCUCCAACAAAACAACAAAACGUGUGACUGAGAAACCAGUCAGGUGGCAGAUGUUUCUCGUAGCAUCAAACGACUCCGUCCUGCUUUCUCUGUCCGAGCCGGAUGACGGGAUGACUGCAUGUAGUCAAAUGAAAAUGUAAUUUUGUAAAAAAAAAAAAAAAAAAAGUCAAACAAUAAAGUCAAAACAAUAAAU